GAUGAACGCUAGCGGCAGGCUUAAUACAUGCAAGUCGUGGGGCAGCAGGUUUGUAGCAAUACAGAUGCUGGCGACCGGCAAACGGGUGCGGAACACGUACAGAACCUUCCUUUGAGCGGGGAAUAGCCCAGAGAAAUUUGGAUUAAUACCCCAUAGUAUAAUGAAGUGGCAUCACUUUAUUAUUAAAGAUUUAUCACUCGAAGAUGGCUGUGCGGCUGAUUAGGUAGUUGGCGGGGUAAAGGCCCACCAAGCCUGCGAUCAGUGACUGGUGUGAGAGCACGACCAGUCACACGGGCACUGAGACACGGGCCCGACUCCUAACGGGAGGCAGCAGUAAGGAAUAUUGGUCCAAAUGGAGGCAAACUCUGAACCAGCCAUGCCGCGUGGAGGAUGAAGGUCCUCUGGAUUGUAAACUUCUUUAUAUGGGACGAAAAAAGGCUUUUCUAAAGUCGUCUGACGGUACCAUAUGAAUAA
rnacentral:rRNA from 1 species